UACGGAGGGUGCAAGCGUUGUUCGGAAUCAUUGGGCGUAAAGAGCGUGUAGGCGGCCAAUUAAGUCUGAUGUGAAAGCCCGGGGCUUAACCCCGGAAGUGCAUUGGAUACUGGUUGGCUAGAGGACGAGAGAGGAAGGCGGAAUUCCUGGUGUAGGGGUGAAAUCCGUAGAUAUCAGGAGGAACACCGGAGGCGAAGGCGGCUUUCUGGCUCGUAACUGACGCUGAGACGCGAAAGCGUGGGGAGCAAACAGG
rnacentral:rRNA from 1 species